UUCUUUAAAUGGGGACUAGAUAUCAACGGCAUCACGAGGGUCCCACUGAUCUCCCCCCUCCAAUCAGUGAAACUGAUCUCCCCNUGAAGAAGCGGGGAUAAGUAUAUUANACGAGAAGACCCC
rnacentral:rRNA from 1 species